rnacentral:rRNA from 1 species
UACGUAGGGUGCGAGCGUUGUCCGGAAUUAUUGGGCGUAAAGGGCUCGUAGGCGGUUUUGUCGCGUCGGGGAGUGAAAACCUUGGGCUUAACUCAGGGCUUGCUUUCGAUACGGGCAGACUAGAGGUAUGCAGGGGGAGAACGGAAUUCCUGGUGUAGCGGUGAAAUGCGCAGAUAUCAGGAAGAACACCUAUGGCGAAGGCAGCUCUCUGGGACGGUACUGACGCUGAGACGCGAAAGCGUGGGGAGCGAACAGG